rnacentral:piRNA from 1 species
UGAAUUGGACCCCAUACCUGUGGAUCAGGCA